rnacentral:rRNA from 1 species
GGACUACUGGGGUUUCUAAUCCUGUUUGCUCCCCUAGCUUUCGCGCCUCAGCGUCAGCAAUAGCCCAGAAAACCGUCUUCACCACUGGUGUUCUUCCACAUAUCUACGCAUUUCACCGCUACACGUGGAAUUCCGUUUUCCCUAACUAUGCUCAAGGCAGGAAGUUUCAAAUGCAGCUCCGCAGUUGAGCCGCGGAAUUUCACAUUUGACUUUCCCGUCCGCCUACGCGCCCUUUACGCCCAGUAAUUCCGAUCAAUGCUUGCACCCUCCGUAUUACCGCGGCUGCUGGCAC